UUGUGAGUCAGCAUAUGUGUGUGUUUUUAUGUAUGUGUGUUAAUAGUUUGUGUACUUACGCAUGUGUGCUGAACCUUAUUUGCACAUUACUGUCCCUAUCUAUGUUGUGUGUGUUUGCAUGUGCUCAGGUGUGGGUCAGUCCUUGGUACUAUGUUGCAUGUAUGUGUAGAGGUGAGUGCUUGUGUAGGUGUUUGUGUUGGGUGCUUGUAUGUGAAAGUGUAUGUGUGAGUGUCAGUGUGUGUUUUUAUGUGUGAAUUUGUGUGUGUGUUUCUGCAUAAACAUAUGUUGAUUUGCUCUUGAAACAUCUUAAAUGAUGAAAGAGACCAGCUUUAAUGAGAAAAUGUCAGGUUGACUGACUUUUCAGACAUCAAACCUCACAUGCUGCUGCCCAUCUUUCUGCAUUCCCAACUUUUGCUUAGAACAAAGGACACAAAAGCUGCUGUAAGUCAUAGACUUUGUAGAGGCAAGAAUACAUAUCUUCAAAGAAAUCCUACAAGGAGGUGCGGAGGAGGCUGCUAUACAAAACAAGGUGCUUGAGAGUCUGGAAAGGCUGGCUAAGGGUCUGUGUGCUUUUUCUGCUCUUGAUGAAUAGUGACUGUCCACGGGACAGUGGGGUGGCUUUCUGUGUCUUCCCUGCAUCCUGUUUUGUUGUCAUCAUUGCCAGCAACCAUUUUCUUUCCUCCUUCACCUAACCUUGGCUCAGUAAACAAAGGCCUUGGAGCUUGGCCUGGAUUUUAUGCAUUGAGAGAUUUUGAAUGGUUGCUUCUCAGUUCAGCAGAAAUCCCAUAGCAAUGCUGAAGUUUGUGUACAGGGCUGUGUCAGUGCAGCCCCCUUAACCUCAUGAAAGUCUAAAGCAUUCAUCCUGUGCCAUGUCUACAGCACUGAGUAACUGCUUUUAUUCUAAAUCACUCAAAUAUAAUCCAAAAUGAUCCUUAAGAGGGUGGGGAGAAGUGAGGACCCCAGACAUUGCUGGUGGUGUAAAAUAAGGUAGUCCUGUCAAAGGCCAUGAAUAAUAUUUCAACAUCCUGAACUGCAGUCACAAGGUGACCCAGCAAUUCCAGAACUAGAAGUAGGUGUCCACAGAUAAAACAGAAGGCAUCAGGGUUGUAACAGUCUUCUUCAUAGCAGCCACAAGUUGAAACUUUCCAGGUGUCCAUUAGCUUAUAAGUGUACCAUAUCAUCCACCCUUCAUGGAAAUAUUGUUCAUCAUGAAAUAAAGACACUCAAGAUCAUUUGGCCUGGAGUUAAUCAGCCUUCUAUUACUCAAAAAGAUCUCCGAUCGUGUCAUCCUAGAGGGAGAACAUUUUUUUAUGUCUUAGUUGUGGAGAUUUUCUCAUUUCAUAGGCUCACUGUUUGGGUUCAAAGCAAUGCAGGCUAUGAAUAAGGGAGCUCCAUUAGUAGGAAGCUGCUCACCUUAGAACAACUGGGAACAAUUGGGACAGAAUAAGGAGCUGGUUCACCAGGAUCCCCAGGUCUCGGGCUGGGGAAAAAACAAUAUUGCAAGCCUUGGGAACUUGCUAUGUAGGCUUGGCUAAGUGGCCAAGACCCAGUGGGUCCACAUGUCUACACAGAAGGUUUAGGAAAAGUACUUUAUCCACUGAACUGUCUAUAUCCCAUGUCCACUAAUUUCUUAUCCCUUCUACAGAAAGUUAACAUUGUUCUAUAUAGGAUCCCUGGUGAUCUCUUACAUUAGAUACCUGGUGAUCUCUUACAUUACUGGUAAAAUUAUUAAGUUACUGCAAUGCAGUAUAGUUGUAUGUGAGAACACAUGUAUUUCUGUGUGCUCAGGAGUUUGUGUGUGUGUGUGUGUGUGUGUGUGUCAAUGUGCAAAGGUGCUUUUGCACAAUCAUGUUCACAGCACCUCUGAAUACAAUCUUCUAAAAAAAACAGGAACUAAAAGCAAUAGAGAAAAGAAUUAAGUACCUACUGGAGCCGAAAAUGCUGCCAACUCUGGAAAGGGACUUGGCAGAAAAGAUGCAGCAUCACACUGAUGUCAUUGAGAUGAGGUCUGAAAUACUCCAGUCUGACCUGGAAAGAGCCACAGCCCAGAAAGAGAGCUCCCCACAGACAGAGCUUCUGCAGCCAGACAACUGAGUUUUCCCAGGCAAUUGAGCGACCAUCCCAUCCCAUCCUCAGCAACUCUGGCAAUCCUGGCUCCCUUGAUAGAACUGAGGAGAAAGAAAGAAAGAAAGAAAGAAAGAAAGAAAGAAAGAAAGAAAGAAAGAAAGAAAGAAAGAAAGCCACAGAGAAGUUGAACACAACAUUUUUUCCUCUAUGAUCCAGGGCUCCUCAAAAAAAAAAAAAAAUCCAAUAUCAACUGACUUCAUGUGCAUGCUGCUAAAUCUCAAGCAAGAGAAUGUUGCUUAGCUUAAUUUAUUGUUUGAAUUUUGGGUUUAGAUUUUUUUGGUUUUGGUUUUUUGUGUUCUUUGGUUUGAGGUUUUGUUAUUCAUUUGUUAUUUCAUUUGAUGAUUUUAUUGACUUGCUAGUUUGCUAAGGCUAUAUUCUGUCUGUAAUGCCUG